ensembl:misc_RNA Metazoa_SRP Metazoan signal recognition particle RNA
GCCAAGUGCACUGGUGCGUACCUAUAGUCCCAGCUACUCAAGAGGCUGAGACAGGAGGAUCGCUCGAGCCCAGGAAUUCUGGGCUAUAGUGCAACAUGCCGAUCGGGUGUCCGCACUAAGUGCGGCAUCGAUAUGGUGACCUCCUGGGAGUGUGGGACCAUCAGGUUGCCUAAGGAGGGGUGAACUGGCCCAGAUCAGAUAUGGAACAGGUAAAAACUCACGUGCUGAUCAGGAGUGGGAUUGCAUCUGUGAAUAGUCACUGCACUCCAGCCUGGGCAACAUAGAGAGAUCCUGCCUCUU